CGCCCUCUGCUCAAAAAGAAAAAGAAAAAAAAAAACCUCUCUCAAAACGGAGGCCGAUCUCUUCAUCUCUCUUGUCCUCCCUCUCUCUCCGUCAUCGCAAAUCCCAUCUUCCGCCAAUACUUCUGUCUAAGCUCUUCCUUAUCGGCAAACCAAAUUGGGGAAAUCUUUUGGGGGUAUCGUUCAGAUCUAGAUCCCUCACCUGCAAAAGAGUCAAUUGGGUCGCAUAUCGUAAACGACGUCGGUGAGUCCGUUUCAGGGGAGCUCUAGCUGGCUGGAGACCAGAGCUAAGAUGGGUUUCAGUUUAGGAUUCUUGGUCGACAUCUUUGGAGUUCUAAUUCUCUCUCAUGCCACUUAAUCAACCGUUCUUAUUUUCCUCUCUCUCGGCAACCAAGAGCAACCUCCAUCUCUCUUUUCUUCGAGCAGCCUCCAAACCCAAAACCCAGAGAAGCAUUGGGCGAGACCUCCCCAAACCCAAAACCCAAAUCACUGUUCGAGCUUCUUCCACUGCCUUCGUCGAGACCUCCCCAACUUGAUGGGACCAAAACCAAUGUUGAGAGGAACAAAGAGGGGUACAAGUGAACAGGCAAUUGGGCAAAGAAGAAAUAAAUCUAAUUGUAUUUUUUUCGGUGGACAUCAGUAUAAUGCGGCUAAAUCAAAGAAAUCGAAAACAAAGAACUUAAUUGGGAAAGGUGGGUAGGCAGAAGCUCACACUGCAGUUAGUUUGCAGGAUUAUAAUGAGUAUUCCCUUUCAAAAAAUUGGAGUAGAGACAUACAGUGUUGAAAAGGGAUUCACUCUCGGAUUACAUUUUUGCUCUGAAUCCCUGUGUAUAAAACCGACAUCUCCAGCUGCUUUCCAAUAAGAGAAGCCUCCAUCAAAGUCAUCAUCUACUGUUACGCAAUAUCAGGCUUAUCCAUCACAAUCAACAUCACCGAAGACUGGGUUGGCUACCUAUGAUCUAUCUGAGCUGCAAAUUGAGGGUGAUGCAAAUUGUCAGGUUUGACGAAUCUGUGAAUGUCAAGCAGCUUGAGAACAUAUUGUGAUCCAUGUCAACUUCCACUAUCGGAUAGCCUAUCCGCAGCAAAGCGCGGACACGCUUUCUAGUUUUCUUUUGUUCUUUGGUUGAUGAUAAGUGUUGUUCAAUUGAUCAAACAUGUUUAUCAACUAUAUAUGUAUUUGAAUAUGGUAUUCAUGUUUUGGUGCAUUUUAUAUAAAAUUUAUUAUUUGGCUU